rnacentral:rRNA from 1 species
GAUGAACGCUGGCGGCGUGCCUAAUACAUGCAAGUCGAGCGAACGGACGAGAAGCUUGCUUCUCUGAUGUUAGCGGCGGACGGGUGAGUAACACGUGGAUAACCUACCUAUAAGUCUGGGAUAACUUCGGGAAACCGGAGCUAAUACCGGAUAAUAUUUUGAACCGCAUGGUUCAAAAGUGAAAGACGGCCUUGCUGGCACUUAUCGAGGGAUCCGAGCUGCAUUAGCUAGUUGGUAAGGUAACGGCUUACCAAGGCAACGAUGCAUAGCCGACCUGAGAGGGUGAUCGGCCACACUGGAACUGAGACACGGUCCAGACUCCUACGGGAGGCAGCAGUAGGGAAUCUUCCGCAAUGGGCGAAAGCCUGACGGAGCAACGCCGCGUGAGUGAUGAAGGUCUUCGGACCGUAAAACUCUGUUAUUAGGGAAGAACAUAUGUGUAAGUAACUGUGCACAUCUUGACGGUACCUAAUCAGAAAGCCACGGCUAACUACGUG